AAAUGAAUAGACGGGGGCCCGCACAAGCGGAGGAACAUGUGGUUUAAUUCGAUGAUACGCGAGGAACCUUACCUGGGCUUAAAUGUGGAGUGCAUUGGUGAGAAAUCAUCAUUUUCUUCGGAACUCUCUGCAAGGUGCUGCAUGGUUGUCGUCAGCUCGUGCCGUGAGGUGUCGGGUUAAGUCCCAUAACGAGCGCAACCCUUAUCGUUAGUUGCCAGCGGGUCAAGCCGGGGACUCUAGCGAAACUGCCGGUGUAAACCGAGAGGAAGGUGGGGAUGACGUCAAAUCAGCACGGCCCUUAUGUCCAGGGCUACACACGUGUUACAAUGGCCGGUACAGAGGGCAGCUACCUGGAGACAGGAUGCGAAUCUCGAAAGCCGGUCUCAGUUCGGAUCGGAGUCUGCAACUCGACUCCGUGAAGCUGGAUUCGCUAGUAAUCGCGCAUCAGCCACGGCGCGGUGAAUACGUUCCCGGGCCUUGUACACACCGCCCGU
rnacentral:rRNA from 1 species